UACGUAGGGGGCUAGCGUUAUCCGGAAUUACUGGGCGUAAAGCGCACGCAGGCGGUUCGCCAAGUUUGGAGUGACAGUUGUCGGCUCAACCGACAAAGGACUUCAAAAACUGGUGAACUUGAGGACGAGAGAGGAACAUGGAACUCCAGGUGUAGUAGUGAAAUGCGUAGAUAUCUGGAAGAACACCAAUGGCGAAGGCAAUGUUCUGGCUCGUUUCUGACGCUCAGGUGCGAAAGCCAGGGGAGCGAACGGG
rnacentral:rRNA from 1 species